UACGUAGGAUGCGAGCGUUGUCCGGAUUCACUGGGUGUAAAGGGAGCGCAGGCGGGUCGGUAAGUCAGUGGUGAAAUGCUCGGGCUCAACCCGGGAACUGCCACUGAUACUGCCGGUCUUGAGUGUGGAAGAGGCCGAUGGAAUUCCUGGUGUAGCGGUGAAAUGCGUAGAUAUCAGGAAGAACACCGAUGGCGAAGGCAGUCGGCUGGUCCACAACUGACGCUCAUGCUCGAAAGCGUGGGGAUCAAAC
rnacentral:rRNA from 1 species